UAUAAUCCGGUGCGGCUUAUAUAUGGACAAAGUUUUAAAAUGGGCCACUCAUUGAAGGUGCGCCUUAUAAUCCGGUGCGCCUUAUAGUGCGGAAAAUACGGUACAUAUAUCCUAAAAACUGCCACAAUGCUUCUGUCUUUGCUAGUGUAAACCAUGCGGGAUACUCGGGAUAACAUUUUUACAUUUUUAACAAUAAUCAUAAUCGAUUUUCUCAUCAUGACGUACCUUUGUAUCCACAUUUACCAAUGUUUUGAAAUAAAAAUAUUUAAAAAAAAGUGACUCGAUAUGAGAUACCAAUAUAGUAGUCCAUUUUGGAUCAUUCAUUCUCUCCUGUUGUUUCGAUCUCGUUACGCUUAGCUAAUGAGCGUAUUGAAUAAUAUAUGGUGACACCAUUGCAUUUAACAUGAAAGAAGAGCUAGUACAUUAUUUAGCCCAAUGAUUUCUGCAACAACAGUCUUGAUUUAAAUACUCCAGAUAUCAUCCAUGCAUUUUCUAUUCUGCAUUCUCCAGGUGGAUUUAGCUUGCUGUGCUGACAAUCUGACAAUGAAUCUCACCAUGGUUGUUUUUAGAACAGAACCCCACAGCAGGCUCUGUUUGCCUCCUAGUCCUGCCAGCUAGAUCUAACCCCUUCUUGAUCCCAGCUAAUCCUCUCAGCUAAUCUUCACGUUCGAGAGUCACAGCCAAGAGGAAGACAGGAAUAGUCUGAUUGUUACACCACAAGUGUUUGCCUUUUCAGUUUGACGCUUUCAAUGGGAGCGGAGGUCUCGCUGCUCUAAGCACCGGGAGAUCCUUUGGAAAGGAUCAUGUGCACCACAAUGGCUGUCCUUACUACCAUCGGGCUCAUCUUGCGGCAUUUAUUCUCCAGUAAAAUCAACCCGCAGAUGGAGGAAGAGGUGCCAGAUGUGAAGAGCAACCAAGCUCCAGAAAAUCAGAAAUGACGGUCUGCACAUGGAAGCUCAUGCCAAGUUUUCAACCUGGAGUGAAGAAACAACAAAGUUGGUCGGGGGGGCGGAAGGAUUGAGCAUUCUGGUCUGUCCUGCACAUGCUCUCUGUUCUGGGACAGGGAACUGAGGCAAAGGGAAUUUGGGCUGAAUUCCAGUUUCAAGAUAACAUUCUCAUGUUUUCAUGCCAGUUUAAGCUGGUUAGAUUUGCACUAUGACCCUUUAUUGUUGUUUGAGUUAGCUUUGCGUUAAAGAGUUUCUGGCAGAGAGCCAUCGGAAACUAGUAAUGUGCCUCCUUGGAAUAUAUAAAUAAAUAAAUAAAUAAAUAAAUAAAUA